CCCUAGAAUCAUUCCCACUCCCUCCAUCUGCACAGCCGCCGGGCAAGAACAACCUUCUUGCAGAUCUUGCUCGGCUUCCAAACCGGCCACCCCUUUGCUUCCCUCCCAGGAGCAAGACGAUGGCGCCUGGGAGGAAGAUGCUCGGCGGCAAGAACAAGCCUCCCCACCCUCCUUCUGUCCUUCCAGAUCCUGCGGCAACCCCUUGCCUCCCUCCUAGGAGCAAGACAAUGGUGCUUGGUGGCAACAGCACACAUUCCCGCCAUCCUUCGGUCCUUCCAGAUGAAGCGGCCGCCAUGGAGAUGCUAGAAGAGGAAGACAUGGACUUAAGCACGUCGAGGGCUUGGAAUAUCAUGAGGAACAAUCGAUUUGCUAAUCAGCUGGGUAUCCGUAAACUAGCACAAAUAUUCCAGAGUUCAGUUGCAAAGAAGAAAGCUGUUGGCAAAAAGUCAAAGGCUUUGUUACUAGGGGAAGAUGUGGCCAUCACUGGUGAUUGUGUCACAACUGGAACAGGAAGAGCAUCUAAGAGAGUGCUAGCACUUGAAAAUCUAGAAGAAACAAUGAGAUGCACUAGGCAAAGGGCUAUGAAACAAGUGUCCACCACUAGCCUGAUUGAAGCCACAGAGGUUGGACUCGAACCUGAUUUGUCUGCAAACCAGAAUCAGGGUGACACCAACAAUACUGGACAAGGCAACCUCACUUUAAGUACAGAACUAGAGCCAAUGGGAUUGAGCACUACUCAACAAGGCACCCUCACUAGCAGUAUACAAGUGGAGACAAGGGGGAAGAGCAUGGGCAAAGAGAUUGAUUCCAUAAGCAAAGGUUUAGGGACCAUGAUACCAAUCAUUGUCAAGGAAGGGAAAAAAAGGCCAGAGGCUCCUAUGCAAACUGCAAAGCUGGCCUCAGAGAGUGGGAUCAUAAUCAGGCAGCAUAUACCAAUAUAUCCAAGUUGGACAGACUACAAGAAUGAUAGUAGUCAACUUGAUAACUUAAAGGGCAAACUGAAGGGAAAAUUCUCCAUUGAUAUCCACAGCGAUCCUGUAAUAGCUGCAAUGGAAGACAUCCUAAGGUGUGGAACACGCCAUAUGAGGUAUAGGCUCAAAAAGAAGUACUUUGAUGGGGUACCUGCUAAUCAAGUGAGGACUACAUCGCCCUUGAAGUGUAUGACCGAUGAGCAAUGGACAAAAUUGGUAGAUAUGUGGUCAAGCCCAGAGCACAAGGACAAAUGUGCCAAAACCAACUGAAUCGUGAAAAAGUUCAGUUUCAACAGCGUACCGGAUCUCGGUCUUACAUUGCACAUGCCUAUGUCGUGAAGCAAGAAAAAUACAAAGACAGUGAGCCCACUGCAAUUGAUCUCUUUAAGGAGUUGCAUUGUAGCAAAACUAAAGGUUUUAGUGAACCUGUGAAGAAAGCUAUAGAGGAUAUGCAUACCUGGGAAGCCCUCACUUCACCAUCAGUAGAAGAUGGGCAGCAAGCUAAGACUUCUAUUGAAGCUGUUUCCAAAGUGUUGCCGAAGUCAAACACAUUUUUGCGCAACGUCGGAAUUCAGCAGCCCGCUGCCAAGACAACCAAUGUGAUGAAAGAGAUACAAGCUGAACUAGAUGCAAAGAAGCUAGAGUCUGCAGUACUUUCAGGAGGAGCUUGAAAGAUUGAAGGCGCAGGCACAAGAAUCUGAUGCGAAAGUGGAAAAACAAGCUGAGGAGAUUGAGAGCCUGAGGAAGAUGGCAGCAGAUACUCAGAGCCUCCUUCGACAAAUGAUAGCAUUUGGACAGGGUCAGAUCAGUCCUCCCUAAGCUAGUUGUAUGCUCAGGAAUGAGGUGGAUGAGCUUGGAAUUUGAUGGCUGGUGUUAGUGUAGUUGAACUUGGUGGUGUAUGUGGCUGCUAUUGUAUGGUGUAUGUUGCUGCUAGAACUUGGUGCUAGCUGCUGGUUGCUUGCAAGUUGGCGCUUUUGGUGGCCGGAGUUUUUUUUUUCGUUGGUUGCUGGAACAUAGGAUUUUUUGGCACUAGUUGUUGGCUGCUGCAGGAUGCAGUCCAGAAGUGUAGUGGGUGCUUGGUGGAAUUUUUUUGCUGGCUAUUGGCAAGAUGCAGGCUGAGACUUAGUAGUGGCUGCUAGGUGGAAUUUUUUGGUGCCGGAACUUGGCACUACCUGUAGUAACUUUGGUAGUCGGCUGGGACUUGUGUAGUUCAAUGGUGGAUGGAUCAUUUUGUAUUCAUGUUCUGUGCUUUUGUAUGGAACAUGUUGGAAACUAUAUUCUGGAACUUGCUUUUGUAUGGGCUGGAAAAUUAAUUAUGGCUGGAAUGUGAUUAUAAUAUAAUUAUGCAAAUGGUUAUGGUUUA